rnacentral:rRNA from 1 species
UACGGAGGGUGCAAGCGUUAUCCGGAUUUAUUGGGUUUAAAGGGUGCGCAGGCGGGACCUUAAGUCAGUGGUGAAAUCCCUUCGCUUAACGAAGGAACUGCCAUUGAUACUGAGGUUCUUGAAUCUAGUUGACGUUAGUGGAAUGUGUCAUGUAGCGGUGAAAUGCUUAGAUAUGACACAGAACACCGAUCGCGAAGGCAGCUAACGAAGCUAGUAUUGACGCUCAGGCACGACAGCAUGGGGAGCAAACAGG